rnacentral:lncRNA from 14 species
UUUUCCCACCUCAGUCAAAAAGUUUAAAGCAAGACCAAUACUAAGAUUGUUUUGAGCUGUUCCAUCCAGAGGAUUUUUUUUUCCUCAUUAGAUCUUCUUACCAGAAAAAAUAUUUACAUAUUCUGUAGAAAUUAAUUCAUUCUGAGCAAGGAUUUUUUUUUUUUAACGGGAACAUUCUCAGGUAAUGUCUAUUUAAUCAAAUGCAAUCUCUGACACAAGCUCAACCUACAGAAAGCCACGGUGCUUUUUUUUUUCUUUUUUAAUAGGAGCAGGCACAAGAAGAAAUAAACUAUACCAGAAACACACAUUCCAGUCCUACAGUUCAAGCACUAUUUCGAGAAAAGUGAAAAUAAAGUCCCACAUCUCCCUAGGCAACAGACGGUUCUUGAGGGGAGGCUAGGUGCAGAGUAUGCCCCAAUACAUGUUCAACACCCAACAUUCUGCCUCUUCCAGUUGCCUGAAUUCCCGCCACCCACCAGGGACACUGGACAACUUCACCAGAUGGUGCUCCCGGACUAUGGGAGGCGACCUCGCACCGGAGCUCACCUUGAUGUAGCCAGCCAGAAGAACAACGGGCGCCCAGAGCCUGAGUAGCAGCAAGACAAGAAGCUUGCCGGUGGCCGCCAUCCCUGGCCUGGUCGCCGUGGCCUGGGCUCUCCUACACUCAUGCACAGCCAGACCAGAGCGUCUCCCUAUCAGCAUCAAAAACCUUCUGAAGCCGGCUCACCGCCACUCUGGUGGGUUUUAACCGACUUCAACAGACUUCACAAAACCACGCCCUUCUUCAACAGGAUCCAAUACAAGCAGGCAUAAGUAGCCUAACUUGCCGCCCCUUGUUUAACCAAGGCCCAAUCAGAGCAUGGAUGCACCGUCUCCCCUCCCCGUCCAGCGCGUGCCCCCGCAUGGCCCCGCCCCAAGACACGACAGCCCCGCCCCUGCUCUGGACUCCAGGCUGGGGAAUCAGGAGUAUUGUGGGCAGACCAUGGGCCGCUGUUCCUAAGGCCUGAGGCUCCUGCGUGGUUAUCUAUUGGGGUGGCUCUACAUCAUCCACCUUCAGCCUAGGGAUUCAGGCACGCCCCACUCCCCCGUCCCUGCGGGAUAUUUUCCGAUUCCUUUGGGUACAGCUCUCUUUGGAGCUUCUGGAAAAUGUUUUAAUUAAAAAACAGGAUGAAUUGUUGGGAGGUCCGGACAGUUAGGAGGGGCUUAGUGAAUCAGUUUCAAGGAUAUCCUGAAAUUGUUUUAAAUUGCUGAAGGAGCUUUCCCAAAGGAUACAAUGUUUCAAUCUACCCUCCUGUUACCCUACAGGGGGGAAGGCUCCAUCUACACUGCUACAGCUUUUUCAGGGAAGCAUUAAUUUUUUGGGGGGUCAAAGGUCUCCAAUUGUAGCCUGCUGGGGAAAGAGCUCACACACCACCAGUUAGUAACCCCUUUUCUACCCUCUGUAAGGAAGUGCAAUAAACUCCCUGAGGCCCCACAGUGAACUCUAGCCUCAUACCUCAGUUUGUCACUGUGACUUUGGGAAUGGAGAAUAGACCUUGUUUACCACGACCCAAGGGAAGGAAUUUUAGCUACAUGUGUUUAGCUCAGUACACAGUCCUUAAGUAAGUGCCUGGUUCAGAAUGGUAGGAUCAUUGUUUAGAAGAUUAGAAAAAAGGGACCAGAGAUGGCAAUAGGACAAUAGUAGCUCACUAUUGAGCAGCGAUUUUUAAAUUUACAAAUUUCUUUUGUAUACAUUCUCUGGUUUCAUAUUCAUAUGGACCCUGUACAGCUCAGUUA